ACGGGAGGCAGCAGUGGGGAAUAUUGCACAAUGGGCGGAAGCCUGAUGCAGCGACGCCGCGUGAGGGAUGACGGCCUUCGGGUUGUAAACCUCUUUCAGCAGGGACGAAGCGCAAGUGACGGUACCUGCAGAAGAAGCGCCGGCCAACUACGUGCCAGCAGCCGCGGUAAGACGUAGGGCGCGAGCGUUGUCCGGAUUUAUUGGGCGUAAAGAGCUCGUAGGCGGCUUGUCGCGUCGAAUGUGAAAACCCGAGGCUCAACCUCGGGCUUGCAUUCGAUACGGGCAGGCUAGAGUUCGGUAGGGGAGACUGGAAUUCCUGGUGUAGCGGUGAAAUGCGCAGAUAUCAGGAGGAACACCGGUGGCGAAGGCGGGUCUCUGGGCCGAUACUGACGCUGAGGAGCGAAAGCGUGGGGAGCGAACAGGAUUAGAUACCCUGGUA
rnacentral:rRNA from 1 species